GACGAACGCUGGCGGCGUGCCUAAUACAUGCAAGUAGAACGCUGAAGAGAGGAGCUUGCUCUUCUUGGAUGAGUUGCGAACGGGUGAGUAACGCGUAGGUAACCUGCCUGGUAGCGGGGGAUAACUAUUGGAAACGAUAGCUAAUACCGCAUAAUAGCAGUUAUUGCAUGAUAACUGUUUGAAAGGUGCAAUUGCACCACUACCAGAUGGACCUGCGUUGUAUUAGCUAGUUGGUGGGGUAACGGCUCACCAAGGCGACGAUACAUAGCCGACCUGAGAGGGUGAUCGGCCACACUGGGACUGAGACACGGCCCAGACUCCUACGGGAGGCAGCAGUAGGGAAUCUUCGGCAAUGGACGGAAGUCUGACCGAGCAACGCCGCGUGAGUGAAGAAGGUUUUCGGAUCGUAAAGCUCUGUUGUAAGAGAAGAACGAGUGUGAGAGUGGAAAGUUCACACUGUGACGGUAUCUUACCAGAAAGGGACGGCUAACUACGUGCCAGCAGCCGCGGUAAUACGUAGGUCCCGAGCGUUGUCCGGAUUUAUUGGGCGUAAAGCGAGCGCAGGCGGUUAGAUAAGUCUGAAGUUAAAGGCUGUGGCUUAACCAUAGUACGCUUUGGAAACUGUUUAACUUGAGUGCAAGAGGGGAGAGUGGAAUUCCAUGUGUAGCGGUGAAAUGCGUAGAUAUAUGGAGGAACACCGGUGGCGAAAGCGGCUCUCUGGCUUGUAACUGACGCUGAGGCUCGAAAGCGUGGGGAGCAAACAGG
rnacentral:rRNA from 1 species